AUUGAACGCUGGCGGCAUGCCUUACACAUGCAAGUCGAACGGCAGCAUGAUCUAGCUUGCUAGAUUGAUGGCGAGUGGCGAACGGGUGAGUAAUACAUCGGAACGUGCCCUGUAGUGGGGGAUAACUAGUCGAAAGAUUAGCUAAUACCGCAUACGACCUGAGGGUGAAAGUGGGGGACCGCAAGGCCUCAUGCUAUAGGAGCGGCCGAUGUCUGAUUAGCUAGUUGGUGAGGUAAAGGCUCACCAAGGCGACGAUCAGUAGCUGGUCUGAGAGGACGAUCAGCCACACUGGGACUGAGACACGGCCCAGACUCCUACGGGAGGCAGCAGUGGGGAAUUUUGGACAAUGGGCGAAAGCCUGAUCCAGCAAUGCCGCGUGUGUGAAGAAGGCCUUCGGGUUGUAAAGCACUUUUGUCCGGAAAGAAAUGGCUCUGGUUAAUACCUGGGGUCGAUGACGGUACCGGAAGAAUAAGGACCAGCUAACUACGUG
rnacentral:rRNA from 1 species